rnacentral:rRNA from 1 species
CCUACGGGUGGCAGCAGUGGGGAAUAUUGGGCAAUGGGCGCAAGCCUUACCCAGCAAUACCGCGUGAGUGAAGAAGGUCUUCGGAUUGUAAAGCUCUUUGAUCAGGGACGAACAGAUGACGGUACCUGAAGAACAAGCCCCGGCUAACUACGUGCCAGCAGCCGCGGUAAAACGUAGGGGGCGAGCGUUGUCCGGAAUGACUGGGCGUAAAGGGUGCGUAGGCGGCAUAAUAAGUUAGAAGUGAAAUACCCAGAGCUUAACUCGGGUGCUGCUUCUAAGACUGUUGAGCUUGAGUGCGGGAGAGGUGAAUGGAAUUCCUGGUGUAGCGGUGGAAUGCGUAGAUAUUAGGAGGAACACCAGAGGCGAAGGUAGCAUACCGGCGCUCAACUGACGCUCAUGCACGAAAGUGUGGGUAUCGAACAGGAUUAGAUACCCUGGUAGUC